rnacentral:rRNA from 1 species
GCUUGUCUCAAAGAUUAAGCCAUGCAUGUCUAAGUGUAAAUACGUCUACACUGUGAAACUGCGUACAGCUCAUUAUAUCAGUAAUGAUUUAUUUGAUGGUAUGUCCCUACAUGGAUAUCUGUAGUAAUUCUAGAGCUAAUACAUGCGUACAGUCCCGACCUCACGGAAGGGAUGUAUUUAUUAGAUAAAAAAUCAAUGCGGUUUCGGCCGGUUCGUUGGUGAUUCAUAAUAACUACUCGAAUCGCAUGGCUUCAUGCCGGCGAUAGUUCAUUCAAAUUUCUGCCCUAUCAGCUUUCGACGGUAGUGUAGUGGACUACCGUGGCGUUAACGGGUGACGGAGAAUUAGGGUUCGAUUCCGGAGAGGGAGCCUGAGAAAUGGCUACCACAUCCAAGGAAGGCAGCAGG